UACGAAGGGAGCUAGCGUUGUUCGGAAUCACUGGGCGUAAAGCGCACGUAGGCGGACUUGUCAGUCAGGGGUGAAAUCCCGGGGCUCAACCUCGGAACUGCCUUUGAUACUGCAAAUCUCGAGUCCGGAAGAGGUGAGUGGAAUUCCUAGUGUAGAGGUGAAAUUCGUAGAUAUUAGGAAGAACACCAGUGGCGAAGGCGGCUCACUGGUCCGGUACUGACGCUGAGGUGCGAAAGCGUGGGGAGCAACAGGG
rnacentral:rRNA from 1 species